rnacentral:rRNA from 1 species
GACGAACGCUGGCGGCGUGCUUAACACAUGCAAGUCGAACGGUAAGGCCCUUCGGGGUACACGAGUGGCGAACGGGUGAGUAACACGUGGGUGAUCUGCCCUGCGCUUCGGGAUAGGCCUGGGAAACUGGGUCUAAUACCGGAUAGGACCCUGGGAUGCAUGUCCUGGGGUGGAAAGCUUUUGCGGUGUGGGAUGGGCCCGCGGCCUAUCAGCUUGUUGGUGGGGUGAUGGCCUACCAAGGCGACGACGGGUAGCCGGCCUAAGAGGGUGACCGGCCACACUGGGACUGAGAUACGGCCCAGACUCCUACGGGAGGCAGCAGUGGGGAAUAUUGCACAAUGGGCGCAAGCCUGAUGCAGCGACGCCGCGUGAGGGAUGACGGCCUUCGGGUUGUAAACCUCUUUCAGCACCGACGAAGCGCAAGUGACGGUAGGUGCUGAAGAAGGACCGGCCAACUACGUGCCAGCCGCCGCUGUAA